rnacentral:rRNA from 1 species
CUACACAUGCAGUCGAGCGGUAACAGAAAGUAGCUUGCUACUUUGCUGACGAGCGGCGGACGGGUGAGUAAUGCUUGGGAACAUGCCUUGAGGUGGGGGACAACAGUUGGAAACGACUGCUAAUACCGCAUAAUGUCUACGGACCAAAGGGGGCUUCGGCUCUCGCCUUUAGAUUGGCCCAAGUGGGAUUAGCUAGUUGGUGAGGUAAUGGCUCACCAAGGCGACGAUCCCUAGCUGGUUUGAGAGGAUGAUCAGCCACACUGGGACUGAGACACGGCCCAGACUCCUACGGGAGGCAGCAGUGGGGAAUAUUGCACAAUGGGCGCAAGCCUGAUGCAGCCAUGCCGCGUGUGUGAAGAAGGCCUUCGGGUUGUAAAGCACUUUCAGUCAGGAGGAAAGGUUAGYGGUUAAUACCYGCUAGCUGUGACGUUACUGACAGAAGAAGCACCGGCUAACUCCGUGCCAGCAGCCGCGGUAAUACGGAGGGUGCGAGCGUUAAUCGGAAUUACUGGGCGUAAAGCGUACGCAGGCGGUUUGUUAAGCGAGAUGUGAAAGCCCCGGGCUCAACCUGGGAACUGCAUUUCGAACUGGCAAACUAGAGUGUGAUAGAGGGUGGUAGAAUUUCAGGUGUAGCGGUGAAAUGCGUAGAGAUCUGAAGGAAUACCGAUGGCGAAGGCAGCCACCUGGGUCAACACUGACGCUCAUGUACG